UGAGGAACUUUGCGCAAUGGGCGAAAGCCUGACGCAGCGACGCCGCGUGGAGGAAGACGGCCUUCGGGUUGUAAACUCCUGUCAGGGGUGAAGAAACUUCGCAAGAAGCUGACGGUAACCCCAGAGGAAGCCCCGGCUAACUACGUGCCAGCAGCCGCGGUAAUACGUAGGGGGCGAGCGUUGUUCGGAAUUACUGGGCGUAAAGGGCAUGUAGGCGGUUAUGUAAGCCUGGCGUGAAAGUCCACGGCUCAACUGCGGAACGGCACUGGAUACUGGCGGGCUACGAGUCUGCGAGGGGUAAGCGGAAUUCCUGGUGUAGCGGUGGAAUGCGUAGAUAUCAGGAAGAACACCGAUGGCGAAGGCGGCUUACUGGCGCAGUACUGACCCUGAGGGACGAAAGCGUGGGUAGCAAACG
rnacentral:rRNA from 1 species